rnacentral:misc_RNA from 1 species
AUGACCUUGGUGUCAUUCUGUGGCCACGUGACAGCAGAUGGUGCUAUCCCUCCCUCCAACUCUGUUGUCAUCUGUGUAGAAGUCUUUCUGAGGGAACAUAUGUUGUUAUCAUGAGAUUUAUCUCUAGAUUGUAUUUAUAUACAAUCUGUUUACUGACCAAAAUUUAUUUAUUGUUAUGUAUUUAUAUUUUGAAGUUUUUAAAUGAUUUCUGACUUUGGCUGUGUAUAAUACAUGAACCGUAGAUAACUUAGAAAAAUGGACAAAUUUCUCAUCAGUAUAUUUUUAUGGUGUAUGUUCACAUGAUUUUUGAUUAAUGUAUUCCAACAAAUCUCAUAAACUGAUAUCAGAACUCACUUUCGUAAAUAAUAUUUUGAAUUGAAGCCCCCAAUAAUACAUGUACCACCAUGCUACAUUACUGUAUUCCGCAAUGUGAGUUUUCAUUGUUUGAUAUUUCAUCCAAGUUUUGUUCUUUUAAGACAUUAUUUUAACAUGAGUCUGGGAAGGGCAUUCGCAUACUUCAUCCUAUUGUUGUCAAGGUGAUGUAUGAUGAUUGACAGUCUAGUGGAGGGACAUAAAUAACUGAGGGUAAAGUUUUACAUGAAUCAAUGGGAAAAGCUAUGAUUUCAUGAUCAACAUAUUGAUAAUUAAAAUUCUGUAUAGAUGCAGUGAUUUAUUGUAUGUAUUCGAUUGUCAUAAGACUGAGGACGUGUAUUAUACAUAUUAUAUACAUGUCUCAGUGAUGAAUACUGAACACAGUGCUGUUUUGUAAUCUAUUGUAAAAUGUUGCACAUUUGAAUAUUAAAGAAGCAUGUUUUAAUGUG